UUUCCUGUCACUUUUGUUGGUGGGAGUAAGUCUCCUACCUGAGAGAGUAAGUCCAUCGGAGCAGCUAGCCACUGCCACAGCCUGUAACACCACUGGAGAGGCUGAAGAGGAUGAAAAAGAUUUAUGAUCAGGCAACAUGGCUACACCCCUUCGCCCAGGGAAACCCUCCGCCAACUUAAUCUGAGACGCCGUAAGAGCCAGCCCCGUGAAGCCAACCACGCCCAACCCCUGACCAUCUCCAGGAGCCGCGUCCUAGCCU